rnacentral:rRNA from 1 species
CUACGGGAUGCACCAGUGAGGAAUAUUGCGCAAUGGGCGAAAGCCUGACGCAGCGAUGCCGCGUGAGUGAAGAAACCCUUAGGGGUGUAAAGCUCUUUUUUAUGGGACGAAUGCCCGUUUCGGCGGGAGCGACGGUACCAUAAGAAUAAGCACCGGCUAACUCCGUGCCAGCAGCCGCGGUAAUACGGAGGGUGCAAGCGUUGUCCGGAUUUACUGGGCGUAAAGGGCGUGUAGGCGGGAUGAUCAGUCGGAGGGGAAAUUUGCACAGCUCAACUGGCAAAGUGCCUUCGAUACUGUCAUCCUUGAGUGAAGGAGGGGGUAGGGGAAUUCCCGGUGUAGCGGUGGAAUGCGCAGAUAUCGGGAGGAACACCGGUGGCGAAGGCGGCUACCUGGCCUUACACUGACGCUGAUGCGCGAAAGCGUGGGGAGCAAACAGGAUUAGAUACCCUCGUAGUC